UUUCGUUAAAAGAAUCCCUAUCCACUCUAAUCUCUCUUCACACGUACCCCGCCAAACGAGCCUCGUUUUUUCCCUUGCUAGCACACUAUCCCACUCAGCUCAAUUCUCUUCCUCUGGUGUCUGAGCUAAGCCCUCUGCUGCCUUCAAGUUUCCGGCAAAUCAGGAAAUUAAACAAGAGGGUGGUAUAGAUAACUCUAUGAAACUCGGAAAUUGAAGACAUAUGAAUGAAGUUUACAUGGGAAUGUACGAUGCGUCUUUCUUGGUUAGCUCCUCCUUUAACUCAUGGUAGCUGUUCUUUAAACCACAGCCACUUGAAACUUCUAUGUUGUUCCAGGACGGAUAACAAUAAUAACAGAGUAAAGCAAGGUGCUAUUCCAGAAUUCAACAAGAAAAACGCCAUAUGUAAGUACCCAUUUGAAUCUAACAGUGGAGAAGAGCUUUCCACUGAGUUGCACAACAAAACAAUUCAAGAGUAUUGCAAAAUAGGGGAUGUAGAUAAUGCUAUGAAACUUGUUGCUCAAUUGGAGGCUAUGGGUUUCCAUCCAAAUUCUAUUUCUUAUGGUUUUUUAAUUGAUAGUUUGGGAAGUGUUGGUAGGACAUUGGAAGCUGAUGUCUUGUUUCAAGAAAUGAUGUAUCUUGGAUUUAAACCUAGGAUAAGAUUGUUUAAUGCUUUGCUUAAAGGAUUUUUGAAGAAAGGGUUGUUGGGUUUAGCUGUUAAGUUUUUGGUGGAAAUGGAUCGAAUGGGUGUCUGUAAAAAUCAGGAAACAUAUGAAAUUCUUUUGGAUUAUUAUGUUAGUGCUGGAAGGUUGGAAGACACAUGGAUGGUAGUUAAUGAGAUGAAGACAAAUGGGAUACAACUGAGUUCAUUUGUGUAUGGUAAGGUUAUUCGUCUCUAUAGGGACAACGGAAUGUGGAAAAAAGCAAUAGGCCUAGUAGAGGAGAUUAGGGAGAAAGGGAUAUCUUUAGACAGACAGAUUUAUAAUAGCAUCAUUGAUACAUUUGGAAAAUAUGGAGAGCUAGGUGAAGCUUUAGAAGUGUUUGAGAAAAUGAAACAAGAAAGUAUAGUGCCUGAUAUAACAACAUGGAAUUCUUUGAUUAGGUGGCACUGCAAGGCUGGAGAUCUCACUAAGGCUCUUCAGUUGUUUACUGAGAUGCAGGAACAAGGAUUAUAUCCUGACCCAAAGAUCUUAAUGAGCCUUAUUAGCCGAUUGGGAGAGCUUGGGAAGUGGGAUGUAAUAAAGAAAAACUUUGAGAACAUGACAUGUAGAGGACGUCAAGAAGUUGGGGCUAUUUAUGCAAUGUUGGUUGAUAUUUAUGGACAAUAUGGAAGAUUCCAGGAUGCGGAGGACUUCAUAUCUGCUCUGAAGUCAGAAGGCUUCCUACCAUCAGCUAGCAUGUUCUGUGUUCUAGCAAAUGCUUAUGCUCAGCAGGGAUUUUGUGAACAGACUGUUAAGGUUCUUCAACUCAUGGAAGCAGAAGGCAUUGAACUCAAUAUCAUAAUGCUGAAUGUGUUGAUAAAUGCCUUUGGUAUAGCAGGGAGGCAUGAGGAGGCAUUAUCUAUUUACCAACAUAUAAAAGAAAGUGGUAUUAGUCCUGAUGUGGUUACUUAUAGUACACUCAUGAAAGCUUUUAUUCGAGCCAAGAAGUUUGAUAAGGUUCCUGAAAUAUACAAGGAAAUGGAAUCUUAUGGAUGCACUCCUGAUAGAAAAGCUAGGCAAAUGCUGCAAACUGCCUUGAUGGUACUUGAACGGAGACAUUGUAAGUAUUAGACCAGUGUUUGGUAUAUAAUUGGUUUUAAAAUUUGGCAAUAACUAAUAACCCAGAUUUGUAUCGGAUUUGUCUCUUUACAUUUUGAUUGUUUCAGGAGUCUUAGACUGAUGUUGCUAAUACCUGGUGACCUGAUAUUAUCUUCACUUUGCUGUGGCUUUUGCUAAGCUGACUAAGUUUGUAAAGUGUAUAGAUUUGCUUCUCAGAAUUGAAGACCUUGUUAAUAUUUCUUCUACUGGCAUUGUUGCAUGGAUUGGAUUUGCAAAAUCACAAAUGCCAUCCUCCCUGCUGCCACCGCCCUGAGAUAAGCAACCCACAUCAACAUCCCCUUGAGGUCAAACAGCCUUCAAACUUAUGAGUUGAGACAUUGGGAGGAAAUUUGAUAAUCGUUUGUUAGUGCUUCCUUAUCAAUGCAACGGUGGUUGGUGCACUCAACUUUACUGAGUCAGCUGUUUACAUUCAUUUCGAUCAAACUCCCCCACCAUGGUCAAGGUUCUCUACCAGUAUUUUUAGGUACUCAUUUGAAAGGCCUGAUGGUUCCAAGGCUUGC